GUUUUGUUUAUGAUUAGUGUAAUGAAAAAAUGAAACUGAUGGUGUGGUGCAGGAAGUGUCCCUUCAUAACGGAUUCUAGAAGUGGGCAAGCGGCGGAUCAUAGGCUGCUGUAUCGUGGAGGAAGUUAAUGGUAAGACCACGUAAGACAGAAUAUCGUUCGGCAGCUAUUAUUGGCUUAUCUUACCAAUUAGAAACAAUAAUAGCUGAUACAGGUUCACACAUAACCUGAUGUGUUAGAGACAACGACUAACUUCGA